ACGCUGGCGGCGUGCCUAACACAUGCAAGUCGAGCGGUCCGGCAGCCAACUUAAGUUGGGAGCCGGAUAGCGGCGGACGGGUGAGUAACGCGUGGGCAACCUACCCUUAAGACCGGGAUAACACCUCGAAAGGGGUGCUAAUACUGGAUAAGCUCCUUGUAGGGCAUCCUAUGAGGAGGGAAGGUAGCGGGAGCUACCGCUUAAGGAUGGGCCCGCGUCCCAUCAGCUAGUUGGUAGGGUAACGGCCUACCAAGGCGACGACGGGUAGCCGGCCUGAGAGGGUGGUCGGCCACACUGGGACUGAGACACGGCCCAGACUCCUACGGGAGGCAGCAGUGGGGAAUCUUGCGCAAUGGGCGAAAGCCUGACGCAGCGACGCCGCGUGAGCGAGGAAGGCCUUCGGGUCGUAAAGCUCGAUAGUGUGGGAAGAAGGGAUGACGGUACCACACGAAAGCCCCGGCUAACUACGUGCCAGCAGCCGCGGUAAGACGUGGGGGGCGAGCGUUGUCCGGAAUUACUGGGCGUAAAGGGCGCGUAGGCGGCCGUUCAAGUCAGGUGUAAAAUACCCGGGCUCAACCCGGGGAUAGCACUUGAAACUGGGCGGCUA
rnacentral:rRNA from 1 species